UUGGUCUUUUGAGGUCGUUAUAUUAUGGUACCAUUUGGAAUAACAAUUUUUUUGAAUAAGCCCUUUUUAAUUGUCCUCUUAGGUUGUUUUGAGAAAGUUCUGAAGGCCACUUAUAAAAAA